CAUGGGCUUGGGCUUGGAUUAGUUUUAGACUCAUUCUUUGGAUUUGGGAAUGGGCAAAAACCGAGUUUGGGCUCUUUGUUUUCGGCCCAACCCAACUUACAUUUUGUUCUGUGUUUUGGGCCUCAAAAAGGCCCAAUUUGUUGUGAUCAGGCCCAGUGACACCCAGUGGUCCACCCUCCAAUUAAAUUCACAGUUAAUGCUCUACUUUCCUCUGCAAUAGAAAUGAAGCUUCUAUUUCCUUCUGCACAUGGCUGCGCCUGCGCCUACCCAUUCAUCGUCCUCCAACGACUGCCGGCAUUUGGGAUCUCUCUCAUGCCGACUGAGCCAUGCCUCCUCCGACACACCUGGCUUCGUCCGUGAAUGCAUUGAUGACGAAGAUGAGGUAUUUUCAUUUAGAAGUUUAUGAUGAUGCUAGCCUGUAUGAGAUUUAAACACCAUUUCCACACUCUCACUACUAUUCUAAGAUUACAUAUUACGUUACUUUAAUUAUCUUGGGAAUCAUAAACCCUGCAAUAUUUACAUAAUUAUUCAAGUAAUUUACUGGGA